rnacentral:lncRNA from 1 species
CAGUCCUCCUCGCCCACCCACCAAACACGCUGCCUGCCACUAAUCGGCAAUUACCGACGCCAUAAUAAUAACCCUGAAGCAAAGCAAUUGCCAAUUGCAUAGCACCACGCCACCACCCGACCCAUCCAGGCACACCAAGAAACGCAGGCCUUCCCUUUUGCUACCUGCCCCCUCGGAUCGAGCGGGGGCAAUUCGGAUUAGACGGCCACGUCCCCCGCCGAGCCUCACCAAUCGCCCUCUGCAGGCAGGGAAGGACGGGGCGGGGCGGAGAUCUGCUGAUUGCUCUCUUUCUUAUCUUCUCGCCUCCCCUCCCCUCCCGUUCUCCCAAUUCCAACCUGCUGCUCGCGGUCGCGGUGGCCAUUGCCUCGCUCGCGUCUCCUUGGCCGCGGGCGGAUCCGGCCGCAUCCUGCUGCUGUUCCCCAUUCGUCGGUCGUUGCCAGUCCAUGGAUUCUUAACCAAUUCUUCCCCAAGCUUCUUCCUUGCCUGGGAGCAGCUAGCUGCAUCCUGUUAAAUAAUAGCUCUAGCGUGCGGGGGGAGGCCGCGAUGGCGUCCAGGGACUUCCUGCGCGUCUUCGGGGCAGGGGCGGGCCACCAGGACGACGCCGCCGCCGCCGCCGGCCGGACAGACGACGUCGAGCUCAGCCUCGGUCUCUCCCUGGGCGGCCGCUUCGGCACCACCGACGCCAAGCGCCCGCGCCUGGCGCGCUCCUCCUCCAUCGCCUCCGUCUGCUCCGUCUCCUCCCUCCACGCCGACGCCGACGCCGCGCCGCUGCCGCUGCUGCGCACCACCUCGCUGCCCACCGAGACCGAGGAGGAGCGCUGGCGCCGCCGCGAGACGCAGAGCCGCCGCCGCCUCGAGGCCCGGCAGAAGCGCGUCGAGCGCCGCAACUCCAUGGCCUCCCUGGCGCCCGCCGUCGUCGGCGGGACCGGGAGGAGGUCCAACGCCUCGCAGGGGA